rnacentral:rRNA from 1 species
GUGGGGAAUUUUGGACAAUGGGGGAAACCCUGAUCCAGCCAUCCCGCGUGUGCGAUGAAGGCCUUCGGGUUGUAAAGCACUUUUGGCAGGGAAGAAACAGUGCGUGCUAAAACCAUGCGCGAAUGACGGUACCUGCAGAAUAAGCACCGGCUAACUACGUGCCAGCAGCCGCGGUAAUACGUAGGGUGCAAGCGUUAAUCGGAAUUACUGGGCGUAAAGCGUGCGCAGGCGGCUUUGUAAGACGGAUGUGAAAGCCACGGGCUCAACCUGGAGAGUGCAUUCGUGACUGCAAGGCUAGAGUGUGUCAGAGGGAGGUGGAAUUCCGCGUGUAGCAGUGAAAUGCGUAGAGAUGCGGAGGAACACCGAUGGCGAAGGCAGCCUCCUGGGAUAACACUGACGCUCAGGCACGAAAGCGUGGGGAGCAAACAGGAUUAGAAACCCCGGUAGUCC